GAUGAAGAACGUAGCGAAAUGCGAUAAGUAAUGUGAAUUGCAGAAUUCAGUGAAUCAUCGAAUCUUUGAACGCACCUUGCGCCCUUUGGCCAUUCCGAAGGGCAUGUCUGUUUGAGUAUCAUGAACACCUCAACUCUUCAUGGUUUUCCAUGAUGAGCUUGGACUUUGGGGGUCUUGCUGGCCUGUGGGUCGGCUCCUCUCAAAUGAAUCAGCUUGCCGGUUUUUGUUGGGCAUCACAGGUGUGAUAACUAUCUACGCUUGUGGUUUUCCACCAGGGUAACCUUCAGCAGUGGAGGUUCACUGGAGCUUACAAAUGUCUCUCCUCUGUGAGGACAGCCCUUUGAAUGUUUGAUCUCAAAUCAGGUAGGACUACCCGCUGAACUUAAGCAUAUCAAUAAGCGGAGGA
rnacentral:misc_RNA from 1 species